CGAGGAGAGCGCGAGGGCUCCACGACGGGGGAAGAGACCCGGACGUGCUCACGGCAGUCUCCGCCGAACGAGACGCGAAGGCCAAAUCUCUGAAGGAAAAAUAAGGCGUCCCUUGAAAUCUUACAGGAAUUUAUAAAACCAUCAUUAUAACUACUGAAGAGAUGUGCAAGGACCCAAGAAAUAUUAGGGGAUGGCUUUAUAAGGCUGUGAAAUAGCUAUAUCAGUACAAGCUAUAUAAGAAAAGAACAAAAUAAAGGAGGUCAGCAGCAUCCAUGAAUGGUUUACUGGAAAUCACUUUAAAUGGCAACAUCAAUUCAGAGAGGAGAUUUGUAAUUUUCUUAUUCCCAGCCUCUGUGGAACUUUCCAUAGUGUCGAGAUUAAGUGAGACAUAUUUCUUCACUUUGAGCUGAAAGGGAGAAAGCUCCACCUUCAUGUCUUCUGUCACUGUAAUGUAAGUGCGUUGAAAGCCUUCUACAGAUACAUUACCUCAUGCUUGAAAUUAAAUGAAGCAAGGCAUCAAAUGACAUUCAUCAGUCUUUCUUAAAUAUUUGCCAUAUGUUCCAUUGAUGAGAAGAGUUCAUUUGCAACCCAAACAAAGAAACUGAAGCAUCACAACUGGAUGAUGAAUAUUAGCCAUAUGGUACAAUAAUUUAAAGAUAGACUAAUGAAUAGAGCAAAACAAAGGCUUCGUUACAAGUUCAGUACCUGACUUCAUUUCAGCUGAAAACUCAUGAUAGACCUGAAUAAUUAUUAUCAUUCAAAU